rnacentral:rRNA from 1 species
ACGCUGGCGGCGUGCCUAACACAUGCAAGUCGAGCGAGAAAAGGGGAGCAAUCCUCUGAGUACAGCGGCGCACGGGUGAGUAACACGUGGGUAAUCUGCCCUAGAGUGGGGAAUAACACCGGGAAACCGGUGCUAAUACCGCAUACGAUCACGAGGUCUGCGGAUUUUGUGAUGAAAGGAGCAAUUCGCUCCAGGAGGAGCCCGCGGCUGAUUAGCUAGUUGGUGGGGUAACGGCUCACCAAGGCAACGAUCAGUAUCCGGUCUGAGAGGACGGCCGGACACACUGGAACUGAGACACGGUCCAGACUCCUACGGGAGGCAGCAGUGGGGAAUUUUUGGCAAUGGGGGCAACCCUGACCAAGCAACGCCGCGUGGGUGAUGAAGUCUCUUGGGACGUAAAACCCUUUCGACGGGGAAGAAACCGCAAGGUUGACGGUACCCGUAGAAGAAGCCCCGGCUAACUCCGUGCCAGCAGCCGCGGUAAUACGGGGGGGGCAAGCGUUGUUCGGAAUUACUGGGCGUAAAGGGCGCGUAGGGCGGUUCGCUAAGUUGGAUGUGAAAACUCUGGGCUCAACCCAGAGCCUGCAUCCAAAACUGGCGGGCUAGAGUUCUGGAGGGGGUAGCGGAAUUCC